UACGUAGGGGGCAAGCGUUGUCCGGAUUUAUUGGGCGUAAAGAGCGUGUAGGCGGCCAUACAGGUCAGCUGUGAAAACUCGAGGCUCAACCUCGAGACGUCGGUUGAAACCGUAUGGCUAGAGUCCGGAAGAGGAGAGUGGAAUUCCCGGUGUAGUGGUGAAAUGCGUAGAGAUCGGGAGGAACACCCGUGGCGAAGGCGGCUCACUGGGC
rnacentral:rRNA from 1 species